GCCUUGCAUCCCAAACUCAUGCUCACAAUAGGUUUACUCCAAUCAGCUUCCAUGUCAUCCAAGUGACCCCCAAGCAUAUCACCUAAUCCAAAAUAGUUUACUAUUGCAGCUUCCGGGUGGAAUUCUUCUCCCAUAAGCAUUGCAGGAGCAGCCAAUCUUUUAGCCAGCUGACAGAGUGCAUCAGGGAUCUUGUUAUGUGGGAGAGAUGCAUUGUAAUUACGCUUGGACCAGUCAAAUUGCAAGCCAAGGGUACUCCACCGCAGCUUUCGUAAUAAUGCUGAGGCUGAAAUGGAUUUACAUGUCUUUCCUCUUGAUGAAACAACAUGCUCCUCACAAAAUUUCCAUUUAUAAGAAUGUUCAUUGCUGACACAAGCAUUAGAUCCAGAAUCUAAACUUGUAUGUGUAUUCUCAUCCUCUACAAGUACUUUCCU
rnacentral:misc_RNA from 1 species